rnacentral:rRNA from 1 species
AGAGUUUGAUCAUGGCUCAGAACGAACGCUGGCGGCGUGCCUGAGACAUGCAAGUCGUGGGAGAAAGUCGGAGCAAUCCGGCUAGUAAACCGGCGCACGGGUGAGUAACACGUGGGCAACCUGCCCUGGAGACCGGGAUAACCCGUCGAAAGACGGGCUAAUACCGGAUAAGACCCCGGAUAGUUCGCUAUCUGAGGUAAAAGGUGGCCCCUGCUCCUGCAAGCUAUCACUUCAAGAGGGGCCCGCGGCCUAUCAGCUAGUUGGUGAGGUAACGGCCCACCAAGGCUAAGACGGGUAGCUGGUCUGAGAGGAUGAUCAGCCUCACUGGGACUGAGACACGGCCCAGACUCCUACGGGAGGCAGCAGUGGGGAAUAUUGGACAAUGGGCGCAAGCCUGAUCCAGCCAUGCCGCGUGGAUGAUGAAGGCCUUAGGGUUGUAAAGUCCUUUCGACGGGGAAGAUAAUGACGGUACCCGUAGAAGAAGCCCCGGCUAACUUCGUGCCAGCCGCCGCGGUAAUACA